rnacentral:SRP_RNA from 1 species
UGUAAGGCACUGCGCAACUGUCUGUCGCCCAAACCCGUCAGGACCGGAAGGUAGCAGCGGUAAGUGACCGGCUGUGUGCCGCAGACAGCUUUACAGAC